UACGUAGGGGGCUAGCGUUGUCCGGAAUCAUUGGGCGUAAAGAGCGUGUAGGCGGUCCGGUAAGUCCGCUGUGAAAGUCGGGGGCUCAACCCUCGAAUGCCGGUGGAUACUGUCGGGCUAGAGUCCGGAAGAGGAGUGUGGAAUUCCUGGUGUAGCGGUGAAAUGCGCAGAUAUCAGGAGGAACACCAAUGGCGAAGGCAGCACUCUGGGACGGUACUGACGCUGAGACGCGAAAGCGUGGGGAGCAAACAGG
rnacentral:rRNA from 1 species